GGUCUGUAGUCACACAUCGGUUUGUAGUCACGCAGCGGUCUGUAGUCACACAGCAGCCUGUAGUCAAACAGCGGUCUGUAGUCGGUCUGUAGUAAUGCAGCGGUUGUAGUAAUGCAGCGGUCUGUAGUCACACAGCAUGCAGCGGUCUGUAGUCGGUCUGUAGUCACGCAGCGGUCUGUAGUCACACAGCGGUCUGUAGUCGGUCUGUAGUCAGUCUGUAGUCAGUCUGUAGUCACGCAGUGGUCUGUAGUCACACAGCAGCCUGUAGUCAAACAGCGGUCUGUAGUCGGUCUGUAGUCACGCAGCGGUCUGUAGUCAGUCUGUAGUCACGCAGCGGUCUGUAGUCACGCAGCGGUCUGUAGUCACGCCAUAGUCUGUAGUCACGUCUAGUCUGUAGUCACGCCAUAGUCUGUAGUCAGUCUGUAGUCACGCAGCGGUCUGUAGUCACACAUCGGUCUGUAGUCAGUCUGUAGUCACGCAGCGGUCUGUAGUCACACAGCAGCCUGUAGUCAAACAGCGGUCUGUAGUCGGUCUGUAAUCACGCAGCGGUCUGUAGUCAGUCUGUAGUCAUGCAGCGGUCUGUAGUCACACAGCGGUCUGUAGUCGGUCUGUAGUCACAUAGCAUGCAGCGGUCUGUAGUCACACAGCAGCCUGUAGUCAAACAGCGGUCUGUAGUCGGUCUGUAAUCACGCAGCGGUCUGUAGUCAGUCUGUAGUCAUGCAGCGGUCUGUAGUCACACAGCGGUCUGUAGUCGGUCUGUAGUCACACAGCAUGCAGCGGUCUGUAGUCGGUCUGUAGUCACGCAGCGGUCUG